rnacentral:rRNA from 1 species
UUGACCUCAAAUCGGGUGGACUACCCGCUGAACUUAAGCAUAUCAAUAAGCGGAGGAAA